CUCAUCUCUCUAAAAUCCAACUCCGAUUCUCUCUCCCUCCGUCUCAGCCAUGACCGCCUCCAACUCCAAUUCUCUCCCUCCAUCUCAGCCAUGGUCGCCGUGCACGAAUCACCCACUAGUCCAAGCCGUUCCUCAAGUACCUAAUACCGGAGCCCUAGCCCAAAUCCAAGACUCCAAAUCUCACAUAAUCAACUGGAUCUCCCAGAUUCUUUCGAUUUCGCCAUUGUCUCUCUUCGCCGACUCCGGUCUCCCGCAGAUCACUGUCGCCGCCGACGGAUUCCAUUGCUCCUCCCACAGAUCGACAGCGACGACUUCGUCUCCGGCUUCGAAGGCAAGUCCAACCUCUUCUGGCGGCUUGAACUGGAUCUCCGACUCUCUCCCCUUCCUCUCAAGUCCUGAUCGCUGCUUGAUGAUUGUGAUCGGAAAGGUGAGAGGAGGAUCACGACGAUGAUGAAGGUGCACGACGAGGCGAGGCAAGGCAGCCCAGGCAUCGACGACGUCGUCUAGGGCUCAGUUUGGUGUCGACUCCUUCAAGCCUCCUGAUUUUCAAGCCACCUGAUUCUCAUGAAGGGCGCCGUUUCGCUACUGUAUCUCUGCAGCAACAGCUCCGACGCGUCUCAUGCCUCCACCACCGCCGUCCCCGCUUAACCUUUCACAAUGAUUUUCCUCUUCGAAACACCGACCAAGGCGCUUUCCGGCAAACUCUCGCUCCAGAGUUCUUUCCCUUUGCAUUUGUAGUAGUAGAUUUUGAAAAUCAUGUGAAUUUGGAUAUUGAAGCCUAUAUUGACCAAGAGAUCAUUCGGCCAACUAAAAUUUUUUGAAAUGAAGGCUCGUGCUGAAGGUGGCAAAUGAUGCAUAUGGGUCUAGAGCGUCACCAUUGGAAAAUGAUAGUAGCAUUACAACAUUGACAAUAGCUUUAUACAACUAUUGUAAUAGAUUUUCACAACUAUAGUAGUGGUUUUUUACAAGUAUGGAAGUAACUUUUUAUAUAGUUACAUUAUUGUUGAACCCUACAUACGUUUUGUAACAUUGAAUAUGUUUUCUUUUCUCGAU